GAAAACCUUAAGUCAAAUCAUUAUCACCAAACUUCUCAGUCUCUCUUCCUGUUUACACAGGAACCCUAUGCGUUUGCAGGUUUCCUCAAACAACAUCUCAUUCAAAAUUCAAAUUCAUUAUUACAAACCAAAUUCCAAAACCCAGAGAAAAGAGAGAGAGAAGAGACGAGCGACCCAUGUUUCAUCUUUUCAAAAACCCUUUUCCCAACACGUUUUCUUCAGAUCUUCGUUUUUCUUCGUUGUUUUUGACGAUUUCGUUUACAUAUUCGUGUUGAUCGCUCUUUGAUCUACGUUUUGUGUAUGGAUUUGAUGUGUUUUGAUGAAGCUUUCGUCAACGAUCGUUGCGGUGAUCAGAGGUUAAGAUCUAGAUUUGUUGUUUCAGAAGGAUGAGGUAAUAGUGAUGAAUUUCAGUUGAGAGAUGAUGGUUCCGUUCAUGAUUUGCCCGCAAUUCUCAUGCUCUUCAAAGUUCCAGCUAAGUUUAUUUUUGAUUCAGAAUUUGUGGCUUCUUUAUUUUGAAAACACGAGAGAAACACACGGAUACACAUCUAGGAUUUUUUAGAUUCAUUCUUCCGAUCUCACCUUUUGUUUUUCUCUGUUGAAAUAUUCAUAAAUAAAUAAAAAUGAUAUAUUAAUUUAGUUUGCAACCACUUUUAAUUGUAGUUUGUUCAUGUUGCUUACAUAGUAAGAUUGUGUAGUAAUUUGGAUCGUUCAUUGGAGUUUAAUUUAUGCCCUUAACUGUUAUUUAUAUGCUUUUAUUUUACUUUUUUGUUUGAUAUGUUUUUAUAUUGUUGCAUAGUUGAGUAGUUUUGCAAUUUGUGCUUUGUAAAUCUUGCAAUUUGAGCCCUCUGAAAUACUAGAAAUAUGAUAUUCUUAUGCUCAAGGUUAAGUAUAUGAUCUUAAGCAUUAUUUAAUCAGCGUAAUUGAAAUAAGCUGACCAUUUUUAUCCACCCAUGAGGAUUUUAGGACGGAUUAAAGGGUUGGGUCGGGUUGUUUUGGCCCAUUUUUAGUUCUUAGUAUCCGUUUGUUCUUGCCUUCGAAUAUGACAGUUUGCUUCUUUCUUUCAAAUUACUUACUCAUUGGUGUAUGCUUAUUGGUUAAAAUUUGACAUCGUCAGGUCGCUAAAAUUUGGACAUCUAACAAUUUAUUAAAUUUGUUAUCUUCUUAUAAUCAGUUAUGAUUUACGUAUUUAAUUAUUAAUUACGGGUUAUACCUUAAUUCUAACAGCUUAACCAGGCUAAUCUAGGUGAACUGGGUCGAAUGCUUUGGAAAUAAUCCGAAUGUCAUUUAAAAAAAUGCAUAAAAUGAAAAAAAAACAUCUUCCAAAUAAGCAUUUGGCCAAAUUGGCACAUCUUUUGAGGACAAAUAAUCCAUGUUUAUCGCCGGCUUUCUAUGGUUCUCAAUUUGUUUAACACACGACUUUUUAUGCUUCUCAAUUUGUUGCAUAUAACCCUUUGAGGUUAUUUUUGGUAAUCCGUGUAUCACUUUGUGUAGAGAUGUAAGAAGGCGUUGUCGUGGUUCUUGACAUAUAUAUCAACUCGUGUACAUCUUGAUUUACUUGGCCCUCUCAAGAUGGUGGAUGCCAUGAAGCAAGUAGCAACGUUGGAUAUUGAAUUGCCUAUUGAGAAGAGACACAUGCUCUUAGUUGUAUACAAGAACGUGGUGGGUUCAUGUAAGGGUACUUUGAAUAACUCAUAAAACGGGUAUAAUCGAGUUUUUUAGCAUCAUAUAUGAUGCCUGUUUUCUUUUGGCAUUCACAAGAAUAUUUUGAAACUUUCUUGACAUCAGUCAUUCAGUCUUGUGUAUGCAUUAAGAGCCGCUUUUGAAGUAAAUGUCCUAAGUAAUUCAAUUUCUA